UACGAAGGGGGCUAGCGUUGUUCGGAAUUACUGGGCGUAAAGCGCGUGUAGGCCGACCGAUAAGUCGGGGGUGAAAUCCCAGAGCUCAACUCUGGAACUGCCUCCGAGACUGCUGGUCUGGACCCAAGGAGAGGCAAGUGGAAUUGCGAGUGUAGAGGUGAAAUUCGUAGAUAUUCGCAGGAACACCAGUGGCGAAGGCGACUUGCUGGACUUGUGGUGACGCUGAGACGCGAAAGCGUGGGGAGCAAACAGG
rnacentral:rRNA from 1 species